rnacentral:rRNA from 1 species
GAUGAACGCUGGCGGCGUGCCUAAUACAUGCAAGUCGAGCGAACGGACGAGAAGCUUGCUUUUCUGAUGUUAGCGGCGGACGGGUGAGUAGCACGUGGAUAACCUACCUAUAAGACUGGGAUAACUUCGGGAAACCGGAGCUAAUACCGGAUAAUAUUUUGAACCGCAUGGUUCAAAAGUGAAAGACGGUCUUGCUGUCACUUAUAGAUGGAUCCGCGCUGCAUUAGCUAGUUGGUAAGGUAACGGCUUACCAAGGCAACGAUGCAUAGCCGACCUGAGAGGGUGAUCGGCCACACUGGAACUGAGACACGGUCCAGACUCCUACGGGAGGCAGCAGUAGGGAAUCUUCCGCAAUGGGCGAAAGCCUGACGGAGCAACGCCGCGUGAGUGAUGAAGGUCUUCGGAUCGUAAAACUCUGUUAUUAGGGAAGAACAUAUGUGUAAGUAACUGUGCACAUCUUGACGGUACCUAAUCAGAAAGUCACGGCUAACUACGUGCCAGCAGCCGCGGUAAUACGUAGGUGGCAAGCGUUAUCCGGAAUUAUUGGGCGUAAAGCGCGCGUAGGCGGUUUUUUAAGUCUGAUGUGAAAGCCCACGGCUCAACCGUGGAGGGUCAUUGGAAACUGGAAAACUUGAGUGCAGAAGAGGAAAGUGGAAUUCCAUGUGUAGCGGUGAAAUGCGCAGAGAUAUGGAAGAACACCAGUGGCGAAGGCGACUUUCUGGUCUGUAACUGACGCUGAUGUGCGAAAGCGUGGGGAUCAAACAGGAUUAGAUACCCUGGUAGUCCACGCCGUAAACGAUGAGUGCUAAGUGUUAGGGGGUUUCCGCCCCUUAGUGCUGCAGCUAACGCAUUAAGCACUCCGCCUGGGGAGUACGACCGCAAGGUUGAAACUCAAAGGAAUUGACGGGGACCCGCACAAGCGGUGGAGCAUGUGGUUUAAUUCGAAGCAACGCGAAGAACCUUACCAAAUCUUGACAUCCUUUGACAACUCUAGAGAUAGAGCCUUCCCCUUCGGGGGACAAAGUGACAGGUGGUGCAUGGUUGUCGUCAGCUCGUGUCGUGAGAUGUUGGGUUAAGUCCCGCAACGAGCGCAACCCUUAAGCUUAGUUGCCAUCAUUAAGUUGGGCACUCUAAGUUGACUGCCGGUGACAAACCGGAGGAAGGUGGGGAUGACGUCAAACCAUCAUGCCCCUUAUGAUUUGGGCUACACACGUGCUACAAUGGACAAUACAAAGGGCAGCGAAACCGCGAGGUCAAGCAAAUCCCAUAAAGUUGUUCUCAGUUCGGAUUGUAGUCUGCAACUCGACUACAUGAAGCUGGAAUCGCUAGUAAUCGUAGAUCAGCAUGCUACGGUGAAUACGUUCCCGGGUCU